AGAGUUUGAUUCUGGCUCAGGAUGAACGCUAGCUACAGGCUUAACACAUGCAAGUCGAGGGGCAGCAGGACGAUAGCUUGCUAUUGUUGCUGGCGACCGGCGCACGGGUGAGUAACGCGUAUCCAACCUUCCCCUUAGUAGGGCAUAGCCCGGUGAAAAUCGGAUUAAUACCCUAUGUUGUGUCAUGAGGACAUCUGAAUAACACUAAAGAUUUAUCGCUAAGGGAUGGGGAUGCGUCCGAUUAGGUAGUCGGCGGGGUAACGGCCCACCGAGCCCUCGAUCGGUAGGGGUUCUGAGAGGAAGGUCCCCCACACUGGUACUGAGACACGGACCAGACUCCUACGGGAGGCAGCAGUGAGGAAUAUUGGUCAAUGGGGCGUAAGCCUGAACCAGCCAAGUAAGCGUGCAGGAUGACGGCCCUAUGGGUUGUAAACUGCUUUUAUACGGGGAUAAAGUGAGGGACGUGUCCCUUAUUGUAGGUACCGUAUGAAUAAGGACCGGCUAAUUCCGUGCCAGCCGCCGC
rnacentral:rRNA from 1 species